CCUGGUGUGGUGGCGGGCGCCUGUAGUCCCAGCUACUCAGGAAGCUGAGGCGGGAGAAUGGCGUGAACCCUGGAGGCGGAGCUUGCAGUGAGCUAAGAUUGCGCUGCUGCCCCCCAGCAUGGGCCACAGAGUGAGACUCCGUCUCAAAAAAAAAAAAAAAAAAGCAAAAUUAACUUGUUUUUGUCAGAGAAAAGAGCAGGAGAAUUUUGUGGUUUCGAGAUAAUAAUGGCAUAAAUAAUAAUCGGUGAUCAUCUCGGAGGAGAAACAGUCUUUCUUUUUGGAAAACGUGGAUGUUUCUCUCUCCCACCCUGGACGUGAACCUGUGCUUUGUUUCAGGGGCUGCUUGCUCUCGGUGACUACAUGAAUGUCCAGUGCCAUGCCUGCAUUGGAGGCACCAAUGUUGGCGAGGACAUCAGGAAGCUGGAUUACGGACAGCAUGUUGUCGCGGGCACUCCAGGGCGUGUUUUUGAUAUGAUUCGUCGCAGAAGCCUAAGGACACGUGCUAUCAAAAUGUUGGUUUUGGAUGAAGCUGAU
rnacentral:lncRNA from 10 species